GAAAUAAUUGAAAUCAAUACUUUCCUAAUUUUCAUUUUAAAAUAUUAUGCUCGUUGGGCAACAAGGGAAGGAGUACUUAGAAGUCCCUGUGUGGACAAAUCUCUGGUAAGACUCCAAAAUACAGAGAAAAAGCUGCAAGCCACACACCUAUCCCCAAAUUAUUUAUGACAGCAAAACUCCAGAGGUGCCUCAAAAUCAUUAGAAUAAGAAUGAUUACAUAUACCCCCCUGAGCUUCUGUUUUGAAGCCAGUCAAAAUGAUGUACAUGAAACCCAAGUGGCAUUAUGGAAAUGUUUUAUUUAAAAAAAAAAGGCAAUAGCUGGAAGGGAAUACAUUAUUCCAU